rnacentral:rRNA from 1 species
GGCUAACUACGUGCCAGCAGCCGCGGUAAUACGUAGGUGGCAAGCGUUAUCCGGAUUUAUUGGGCGUAAAGCGAGCGCAGGCGGUUUUUUAAGUCUGAUGUGAAAGCCCUCGGCUUAACCGAGGAAGUGCAUCGGAAACUGGGAAACUUGAGUGCAGAAGAGGACAGUGGAACUCCAUGUGUAGCGGUGAAAUGCGUAGAUAUAUGGAAGAACACCAGUGGCGAAGGCGGCUGUCUGGUCUGUAACUGACGCUGAGGCUCGAAAGCAUGGGUAGCGAACAGGAUUAGAUACCCUGGUAGUCCAUGCCGUAAACGAUGAAUGCUAGGUGUUGGAGGGUUUCCGCCCUUCAGUGCCGCAGCUAACGCAUUAAGCAUUCCGCCUGGGGAGUACGACCGCAAGGUUGAAACUCAAAGGAAUUGACGGGGGCCCGCACAAGCGGUGGAGCAUGUGGUUUAAUUCGAAGCAACGCGAAGAACCUUACCAGGUCUUGACAUCUUUUGAUCACCUGAGAGAUCAGGUUUCCCCUUCGGGGGCAAAAUGACAGGUGGUGCAUGGUUGUCGUCAGCUCGUGUCGUGAGAUGUUGGGUUAAGUCCCGCAACGAGCGCAACCCUUAUGACUAGUUGCCAGCAUUUAGUUGGGCACUCUAGUAAGACUGCCGGUGACAAACCGGAGGAAGGUGGGGAUGACGUCAAAUCAUCAUGCCCCUUAUGACCUGGGCUACACACGUGCUACAAUGGAUGGUACAACGAGUUGCGAGACCGCGAGGUCAAGCUAAUCUCUUAAAGCCAUUCUCAGUUCGGACUGUAGGCUGCAACUCGCCUACACGAAGUCGGAAUCGCUAGUAAUCGCGGAUCAGCACGCCGCGGUGAAUACGUUCCCGGGCCUUGUACACACCGCCCGUCACACCAUGAGAGUUGGCAAUACCCAACGUACGUGAUCUAACCCGCAAGGGAGGAAGCGUCCUAAGGUAGGGUCAGCGAUUGGGGUGAAGUCGUAACAAGGUAGCCGUAGGAGAACCUGCGGCUG